CUUCGGUGACGACAAGAUGACGAGUCAGAAGCGGGUGGCUCUUGUUGCGGUGCCUCUGCAGUGUCACGUUCUGUGAUGCUGCGUGCGGUUCUUCAGCAGGAGCAUCCUGCCAUGGUUGAUUGAUUUAGAGGCAUUUGUCUGAGAAGG
rfam:Patagioenas fasciata monilis isolate BTP2013 Sc31e1R_40, whole genome shotgun sequence.